rnacentral:tRNA from 2 species
GCGCCUGUAGCUUAGCUGGAUAGAGCACAUGACUACGAAUCAUGAGGUCGGUGGUUCGAAUCCAUCCAGGCGCACCA